GAAAUUCUUGAUGAGGGAGAUACUGACUCGAACACAGACCAGGAUGCUGGGAGUAGUGAAGAGGACGAGGAAGAAGAAGAGGAAGAGGGAGAAGAAGAUGAAGAAGGACAAAAAGUAACUAUUCAUGACAAAACAGAAAUUAACCUGGUCUCAUUUCGUCGUACAAUUUAUCUUGCUAUUCAGUCAAGUUUAGAUUUUGAAGAAUGUGCUCACAAAUUGCUGAAAAUGGAGUUUCCUGAAAGCCAAACAAAAGAACUCUGCAACAUGAUACUUGAUUGCUGUGCCCAACAGAGGACAUACGAAAAAUUUUUUGGCUUAUUAGCUGGGCGAUUUUGCAUGCUAAAGAAAGAGUACAUGGAAUCCUUUGAAGGUAUAUUCAAAGAACAGUAUGAUACCAUCCAUCGCUUGGAAACAAACAAGUUGAGAAAUGUUGCUAAGAUGUUUGCUCACCUUUUAUACACUGAUUCAC
rnacentral:lncRNA from 1 species